rnacentral:rRNA from 1 species
AGAUUGAACGCUGGCGGCAGGCCUAACACAUGCAAGUCGAGCGGAUGAAGGGGGCUUGCUCCUGGAUUCAGCGGCGGACGGGUGAGUAAUGCCUAGGAAUCUGCCUGGUAGUGGGGGAUAACGUCCGGAAACGGGCGCUAAUACCGCAUACGUCCUGAGGGAGAAAGUGGGGGAUCUUCGGACCUCACGCUAUCAGAUGAGCCUAGGUCGGAUUAGCUAGUUGGUGGGGUAAAGGCCUACCAAGGCGACGAUCCGUAACUGGUCUGAGAGGAUGAUCAGUCACACUGGAACUGAGACACGGUCCAGACUCCUACGGGAGGCAGCAGUGGGGAAUAUUGGACAAUGGGCGAAAGCCUGAUCCAGCCAUGCCGCGUGUGUGAAGAAGGUCUUCGGAUUGUAAAGCACUUUAAGUUGGGAGGAAGGGCAGUAAGUUAAUACCUUGCUGUUUUGACGUUACCAACAGAAUAAGCACCGGCUAACUUCGUGCCAGCAGCCGCGGUAAUACGAAGGGUGCAAGCGUUAAUCGGAAUUACUGGGCGUAAAGCGCGCGUAGGUGGUUCAGCAAGUUGGAUGUGAAAUCCCCGGGCUCAACCUGGGAACUGCAUCCAAAACUACUGAGCUAGAGUACGGUAGAGGGUGGUGGAAUUUCCUGUGUAGCGGUGAAAUGCGUAGAUAUAGGAAGGAACACCAGUGGCGAAGGCGACCACCUGGACUGAUACUGACACUGAGGUGCGAAAGCGUGGGGAGCAAACAGGAUUAGAUACCCUGGUAGUCCACGCCGUAAACGAUGUCGACUAGCCGUUGGGAUCCUUGAGAUCUUAGUGGCGCAGCUAACGCGAUAAGUCGACCGCGUGGGGAGUACGGCCGCAAGGUUA